rnacentral:rRNA from 1 species
UACGGGGGGGGCAAGCGUUGUUCGGAAUUACUGGGCGUAAAGGGCUCGUAGGCGGCCAACUAAGUCAGACGUGAAAUCCCUCGGCUUAACCGGGGAACUGCGUCUGAUACUGGAUGGCUUGAGUGUGGGAGAGGGAUGCGGAAUUCCAGGUGUAGCGGUGAAAUGCGUAGAUAUCUGGAGGAACACCGGUGGCGAAGGCGGCAUCCUGGACCAACACUGACGCUGAUGAGCGAAAGCCAGGGGAGCAAACGGG